CUACUACAAUAAUUUCUCCUCUAUGUCUUUUUCGAAAUUAAAAAUAGCUUUUGAAAAACUGCAUAACGAAGCUGUAGAUGCUUUUAACGACUAGCUUCCGACAAACAUAUCUUCUCCUUUUUGGAAGGAAAAGUAAACAAAGCUGAAAUUGAUUUAGAAGCAUUGAAAACUAGUAUUGCAGAAAAUUCAAAAACUAUUGACAUUG
rnacentral:lncRNA from 1 species